AUUGAACGCUGGCGGCAUGCCUUACACAUGCAAGUCGAACGGUAGCAGGUCUUCUGAUCCUGGCGACUGGCGCAGGGGUGUGUAAUACAUCUAAACAUCCCCCUGGUUGGGGGGGAUAAAGUCCGAAACCGGGCUCUAAUCCCGCACAAGUCCUGAGGGAAAACGGGGGGGAUCUUGGGUCCUCCCGCUCGGAGCUGCGCAUAGGUCGGAUUAGGUAGUUGGUGGGGUAAAUGCUUACCAAGGCGACGAUCCGUAGCUGGUCUGAGAGGAUGAUCAGUCACACUGGAACUGAGACACGGCCCAGACUCCUACGGGAGGCAGCAGUGGGGAAUAUUGGACAAUGGGCGAAAGCCUGAUCCAGCCAUGCCGCGUGUAGGAUGAAGGUCUUCGGAUUGUAAAGUGCUUUUAUAUGGAACGAAGAGCAGUUAUCUAAUAAAGAGGUGUCAUGACGUUACCGUAAGAAUAAGCACCGGCUAACUACGUG
rnacentral:rRNA from 1 species